rnacentral:rRNA from 1 species
UACGAAGGGGGCUAGCGUUGCUCGGAAUUACUGGGCGUAAAGCGCGCGUAGGUGGCUUCGUAAGUCCGUUGUGAAAGUCAAAGGCUCAACCUUUGAAUGCCGAUGGAUACUGCGGAGCUAGAGUACGGAAGAGGCGAGUGGAAUUCCUGGUGUAGCGGUGGAAUGCGCAGAUAUCAGGAGGAACACCAAUAGCGAAGGCAGCUCGCUGGGACGUUACUGACACUAAGGCGCGAAAGCGUGGGGAGCGAACAGG